ACAUGAAGNUGGAAUCGCUAGUAAUCGCGGAUCAGAAUGCCGCGGUGAAUACGUUCCCGGGUCUUGUACACACCGCCCGUCACACCAUGGGAGUCGGAAAUGCCCGAAGUCUGUGACCCAACCUUAGGGAGGGAGCAGCCGAAGGCAGGUCGGAUGACUGGGGUGAAGUCGUAACAAGGUACC
rnacentral:rRNA from 1 species